GACGUUUAGCUGCAGAAGAAGCACCGGCUAACUCCGUGCCAGCAGCCGCGGUAAUACGGAGGGUGCGAGCGUUAAUCGGAAUUACUGGGCGUAAAGCGCAUGCAGGUGGUUUGUUAAGUCAGAUGUGAAAGCCCCGGGGCUCAACCUCGGAAUUGCAUUUGAAACUGGCAAACUAGAGUACUGUAGAGGGGGUAGAAUUUCAGGUGUAGCGGUGAAAAUGCGUAGAGAUCUGAAGGAAUACCGGUGGCGAAGGCGGCCCCCCUGGACAGAUACUGACACUCAGAUGCGAAAGCGUGGGGAGCAAACAGGAUUAGAUACCCUGGUAG
rnacentral:rRNA from 1 species